GAUGAACGCUAGCGGCAGGCCUAAUACAUGCAAGUCGAGGGGCAGCGGAGGUAGCAAUACUUGCCGGCGACCGGCGCACGGGUGCGUAACACGUAUACAAUCUGCCUUCUACAGGGGGAUAGCCUUUCGAAAGAGAGAUUAAUACCCCAUAACACAAGAAAUAGCAUUAUUUUUUGUUGAAAGUUCCGACGGUAGAAGAUGAGUAUGCGGGUGAUUAGCUAGUUGGUGAGGUAACGGCUCACCAAGGCAACGAUCACUAGGGGAUCUGAGAGGACUACCCCCCACACUGGUACUGCAGCACGGACCAGGCUCCUACGGGAGGCAGCAGUAAGGAAUAUUGGACAAUGGAGGCAACUCUGAUCCAGCCAUGCCGCGUGCAGGAUGAAGGCCCUAUGGGUCGUAAACUGCUUUUGUACGAGAGAAAACCUAUUUACGUGUAGAUAGUUGAUAGUAUCGUAAGAAUAAGGAUCGGCUAACUUCGUGCCAGCCGCCGCGGUAAGAC
rnacentral:rRNA from 1 species